CAGCUCUCCGAGUGGUAGGGGUGAUUAUUGGGCUUAAAGCGUCCGUAGCCGGCCUGGCAAGUCUUCCGUUAAAUCCAGCAACCUAAUUGUUGGGCUGCGGGGGAUACUGUUAGGCUUGGGGGCGGGAGAGGCCGACGGUAUUCUCGGGGUAGGGGUGAAAUCUUAUAAUCCCGAGAGGACCACCAGUGGCGAAGGCUGUCGGCUAGCACGCGCCUGACGGUGAGGGACGAAAGCUGGGGGAGCGAACCGGAUUAGAUACCCGGGUAGUCCCUGCUGUAAACGAUGCGAGCUAGGUGUUGGGGCGGCUACGAGCCGCUUCAGUGCCGCAGCGAAGGCGUUAAGCUCGCCGCCUGGGGAGUACGGCCGCAGGGCUGAAACUUAAAGGAAUUGGCGGGGGAGCACCACAAGGCGUGAAGCUUGCGGUUCAAUUGGAGUCAACGCCGGGAACCUUACCGGGGGCGACAGCAGGAUGAAGGCCAGGUUGAUGGUCUUGCUGGACGAGCUGAGAGGAGGCGCAUGGCCGUCGUCAGUUCGUGCCGUGAGGUGUCCUCUUAAGUGAGGUAACGAUCGAGACCCGCGCCCCUUGUUGCUAACAGACUCCAUCGGGGUCUGUGCACACUAGGGGGACCGCCGUCGAUAAGACGGAGGAAGGAGCGGGCCACGGCAGGUCAGUAUGCCCCGAAUCCCCCGGGCCACACGCGAGCUGCAAUGGCAGGGACAAUGGGUGUCGACUCCGAAAGGAGGAGGUAAUCUCUAAACCCUGCCUCAGUUGGGAUCGAGGGCUGAAACCCGUCCUCGUGAAUAUGGAAUGCCUAGUAAUCGCGCGUCAUCAUCGCGCGGUGAAUACGUCCCCGCUCCUU
rnacentral:rRNA from 1 species